CAGUAGCCACGGUAAUACGAAGGGGGCUAGCGUUGUUCGGAAUUACUGGGCGUAAAGGGCGCGUAGGCGGCGACAAUAGUCAGAAGUGAAAGCCCCGGGCUCAACCUGGGAAUUGCUUUUGAUACUGUGUUGCUUGAGUUCGGGAGAGGUGAGUGGAAUUCCCAGUGUAGAGGUGAAAUUCGUAGAUAUUGGGAAGAACACCGGUGGCUAAGGCGGCUCACUGGACCGACACUGACGCUGAGGCGCGAAAGCGUGGGGAGCAAACAGGAUUAGAUACCCGCGUAGUCCCUGUCUCUUAUAA
rnacentral:rRNA from 1 species